UUUGACCAUCUAACCAAUGUUUACUGACAUUAAAGUUCACAACUAUGAGAGUUGGGUCCAUAGUUAUAGACACCCAUUACUAUGUUUUGAAAUUUGCGCAAUACAUUUGAGCUCAUCCAAUUGUAGGGCGGCAUGCACUAGGAACCUUCAAGUUCUAUUUAUGAACACAGGAUGCAUUUUGAAAAGGAUAAAGCAUUAGCUUGACUAUUCCAGCCUGUGUUGAUUGGUCCUAAGCUCGGGUAAGGGAGGAGGGAAAAGGGCGUUAAGAUCAAUCCAAGGCCAUGACAAUGCCAAGAAUAACCACCUAGUGACUUAUCUAUUGCUCAGUUCUGGUUUUUGGAGCGACUACUUGUUGUCCAUGGGCACUAGUGCUAUACGAGGAUUAUCCAAAUGGGGCCUAUUGUUACCACAAUCCAAGCUUUACUGACACCUCAUCCAAUGAAUGAACUUCAAGUAAAGUGGGACAAGAUUGAAGACAAGUACGCAAUGACUGUGCUUACAUUGGCUGUAGCCAUCGCAUUGUGGGGCUCGGCAGGUUUGAUCUCAGU